CUCUACAGUCGUUGGUAAUUAUAGCUACCGAUUCCAAAUUCACCUCAGGAGUCGAUGGUAGCUAUACUUACCAAUAGUCGGGGUUCCGUUAGGGUGACCAAUUUUAUGGAUUAACUAGUUUUAAAAGCUAGUAUAGAUUAUAAAAUUAUACUAGUAUUGUGUACUAUAAAAAUCCUUACUAGGUGGUAUUUGCAUCUCUUCCCUAUGAGUUGGUAACAUUAAAAAAACAACUGUUAAAGUCUGACGAGUGUUGGUCGAGUCUACUGUCAACUACUGUGUUUGCGAGUGAGUGUUUUAGACAAGAAAUAUGCCGUAAGUAUAUAAAAUAUAUUAUUUUUAUUGAUUAGCAUACAUCUUGAAUAUAUCCUCUACCGUUUUCUACAAAAACCUGAACAUUUAAGUCAUGAUUUUGUUCCAAAAACGUUAAGAGAAAAAUAUCGUAUCAAAAAACGGCUCCUGACACUACAAUGGAGGCAAAUUACAGAAUAUUACACGACGCAUUAUAUUUUAUAAUGUUUUAAAUAUAUCACGUUACUUAUUAGUUACUCGUGGAAACACAUUAUUUACCGAAAUAAACAAUUAUUUCAGCAGAUGCCCAGGAUAUUGAUUACAGGGUACACCAAAUUUGGUCAACUUUCAUCAUGAGAUGCUAUAGUUCAGCUAUAGAGAGGAGACAGAGAGUAAUUACAAAAAAAAAAAAAACGAAUUACCAAACUGUCAGUAGAUGUCCGACAGGAGCUUACGGACAGAAAGCGGCAGGCGCAAUUAGAUUUUGCAAUAAGGCCGCCUUUUGUCUCUAGUGUCUCGAUUUAUUUAUGUUUGGUACGUCAUUUUGUGCAAUCAAGUAUAUUGUAUUGUAAGACUGUCAUUUUAAAUUCUAAUAAAAAAAUAUAUUUUUAAGGUCCGAAUGAUAAGUGCUUGGUAAAAAAUGUAAAUAAAACAAGCAUUCAAUUAUAAAUUGGUUUUAGUUCAUAUUAAUAAACCUUAAUUUUUCUA